UUCCAAUUAAAUCCAAAUGUUACAAGUCACUCCAAAAAGGCUAAGGCAUAACCAAAAAGAGCUUAAAAUUAAAUUAUGCAGAUCUUACAAAUAAUUCAAAAAAGGUUACACAAUGAGUCCAAGAGUUACAUAAUAAUCCAAACUCCAAAUAAUCCAAAUUCACACAAGAAUCCAAAAGAGCACUUGUUAAUUUACACAUUACAAAAUACCCCAAAAUUCUGAGUACAAAGAAAAUAAUUUGAAGGAAUUGAAUAAGAUGUAAUAUCCAACAGAUUGAAGCAACUUCAAAGACUUUUCCCAAAAGCACUUUUGGAAGUUUCAGCCCCCAAUCCCAAGCUGGCGCCGUCCCCUUUCCUAAUCAACAUCACUUCACCUGCAAAAAAA
rnacentral:lncRNA from 1 species